UACGUAGGUGGCAAGCGUUGUCCGGAUUUAUUGGGUUUAAAGGGUGCGUAGGCGGCCCUGUAAGUCAGUGCUGAAAUAUCCCGGCUUAACCGGGAGGGUGGCAUUGAUACUGCGGGGCUUGAGUACAGAUGAGGUAGGCGGAAUUGACGGUGUAGCGGUGAGAUGCAUAGAUAUCGUCAAGAACACCGAUAGCGAAGGCAGCUUACUAAGUUGUAACUGACGCUGAUGCACGAAAGUGUGGGGAUCAAACAGG
rnacentral:rRNA from 1 species